GUUGGGCGAGGAUGAUUUGAGGAGACAUAUGUUGAAUUGAAUCAUUCGAGCAGCGGACGGGUGAGUAAAGCACAAGGACUUGUCCGAAAGAGAGGGACACCUGCGGGAAACCGGAGCUAAUACCUCAUAAGCCGGAAGGUGAAAAGCAGAGAUGCGCUUUUGGAGAGACUUGUGUCCUAUCAGGCAGUUGGUGAGGUGAAAGCUCACCAAACCGAAGACGGGUAGCCGGACUGAGAGGUCGACCGGCCACAUUGGAACUGAGAGACGGUCCAGACUCCUACGGGAGGCAGCAGUGGGGAAUAUUGGGCAAUGGGCGGAAGCCUGACCCAGCGACGCCGCGUGAGGGAAGACAGCCUUCGGGUUGUAAACCUCUGUUGCAGGGGAAGAAGGAAGUGACGGUACCCUGCGAGGAAGCUCCGGCUAACUACGUGCCAGCAGCCGCGGUAAUACGUAGGGAGCGAGCGUUGUCCGGAAUUACUGGGCGUAAAGGGCGCGUAGGCGGCGCUUCAAGUCGUCUGUCAAAUGGAAGGGCUUAACCCUUUUUCGCAGAUGAAACUGGAGAGCUUGAGAAGCAGAGAGGCAAACAGAAUUCCUGGUGUAGCGGUGAAAUGCGUAGAUAUCAGGAAGAAUACCAGUGGCGAAGGCGGUUUGCUGGCUGCAUACUGACGCUGAAGCGCGAAAGCCAGGGGAGCGAACGGGAUUAGAUACCCCGGUAGUCCUGGCAGUAAACGAUGUAUGCUG
rnacentral:rRNA from 1 species